rnacentral:rRNA from 1 species
GUCUCUUUGUUUUUGCUUAUAUAAAGAGUUGGGCCUGCUCGGUGAAAUUUUUUAACAGCUGCGGUAUUUUAACUGUACUAAGGUAGCAUAAUAAUUUGCCUUAUAAUUUGAGGCUAGAAUGAAUGGUUUGACGAAGGUUAAUCUGUCUCUACUUUAUUUUUUAGAAUUUAAUUUUUAUAGUGAAAAAGCUUGUAUUUUUUUAAGGGACGAGAAGACCCUAUUGAGCUUAUAAUUUUAUUAUUGUUAUGUAUUUAUAUUAGUGUAACAUUAUAUAAAUUUUAAUUGGGGUGAUUAAGGAAUAAAAGUGUAUGUAUAUUAACUUCCUUAGCUAUAAUUAUAUUGUUGAAUAAAGUAACCAAUAAUUUAUUGCUUUUAUAGUAGUUACCAUAGGGAUAACAGCGUAAUUUAUUUAGAGAGUUCUUAUUGAAAAAUGAGAUUGCGACCUCGAUGUUGGAUUAAAGUUACCUUAAGGUGUAGAAGCUUUAUUAGGUGAAUCUGUUCGAUUUUUAAAACUUUACA